GGGCUUCCCAAAAUCUAUCGGACCAUAGCAAUGAUAUGAGAUAAACUCCCACCGGUCCCCAUUCUCUAAUACGUUUACAAUUCAGAGACAAGCCUGGGCAAUGUUUCGGCCAUCCUAGCAUUUCCGAAAAGUUUCGAUAGUUUGCUGGGGAAUUUUUGCGAAGAAAGUGCAAGGAUUUUGUUUUGAUAUUGAGUUUCCACCAAUGCAUGGCUGGAAGUUUAUAGGGGUUUGCGUUGUAAAAUAUAAAACCACCUUAUGGAGGUAAGAGGCUGCUGGGAUAUUCUCUUGUCGGGUAUGCGUGCUGUAGGGAUCCAAUGUAGAGGUACAGAUCUGUAUAAGCAAGUAAGGUCUUUGAGUACAUAUAAAUCCGCUUACGCCCGGGAAGGUUUCUGCUAAUGCAUGAUGAUAGAAGGCGUGUUGUUUUGCCACUUGGGGA
rnacentral:sRNA from 1 species